AAUCUUUGACCUGCCCUAACGGAGGUCAGAAAUUCACUCAUAUGCAAAGUUCUAUUAUGUUAUUUUAAUGGAUAAAUAAUGGUUUGGUCUUCAAAUACAUAAUGCUUUGCUAAUUUUAUUUACCUAUCAAUAAAUAUCUGGUUACCAUAGUCAUAAAAGACAUGUUGUGUAGUGAGCCAACUAAAAUGCUGAAUCUAAGUAACCAUUUUCUUUGGGAAAGUGAUAUAUACUAUUAGAAAUGCU
rnacentral:misc_RNA from 1 species